GCCGGGCGUGGUGGCGUGCACCUGUAAUCCCAGCUACUCAGGAGGCUGAGGCAGGAGAAUCGCUUGAACCCGGGAGGUGGAGGUUGCAGUGAGCCAAGAUCGCGCCACUGCACUCCAGCCUCGGUGACAGAGUGAGACCCUGUCUCCA
rnacentral:SRP_RNA from 1 species